ACUCACUGUUUUCGAUGAAGAUGUCGACCGUCUGCUCCGUCAGUCCGUCUCUGACGAUGUCCUGGUUCGUCUUCAUCAUGUUGGAGCAGAAGAUCCUCUGGUAGUUCCUCUCGGUCAUGUUGACUCUGGACGCUCGCAUGUCGCCCUUCAGCAGGUUCCCAGCAGCAGGGUCAGACAAUUGUCACUGAGCUGCUCGUCGUAGCACUCGGUGCUCAUGGUGGAGGGGUAGACCAGGCUGUGGUCCGUGGAGCUCCACUCCUGAGGAACCAACCAGAAGCUCCAUGACAGCAAGGGCUCAAACUCUGCACAGCAUACAGGAGGUUCCUAUAUGCUGAUGUUGUCACACCACCGGGACUUCUGGGAGAUGAAGUCUUUCUCACCUCUGUAGUACUUGGGGUCGUUCUGCUGCAGGGCGGCGACGGCCUUGUGGAAGCUCUGGUCCAGACGUCUGACCAGCGCCACGGUGGAGGUUCUCUGAGCCCAGCUGACCGGGUCGGUGUGAGGCCACGUCCGCACGGCUUCCUUCAGCUCGGCUGAGACACCGGAAGACGGACAGCAGACAUUUUGACUUGUCACAGCAGGAAAAGCACCGGUGCUACUGAUAAUACUUCAACAAUACUUCAACAGCUCUGCAUAUCAGUUUUCAUGCUCACUAACACCGACACUCUCCACAGUCACUGACUCUGACAUCGCCUACACGGAAUUAUCUCAAAUAUUUGUUGGAUUGCCAAGGAUUUUUUUCCACCCACUCAGAUUCAGGAGAAGUCGCAGUACAAGAGCUGCAGCGAUUAACAGAUUGACAGGGGAAAAAGGCUUAAUACUUCUACAAUCAAAUCAUAAUUUAUGUCAUAUUUCUUUUAAGCAAAAGCAGGUAAGAAGAUAAGAUGGGACUUUAUUAAUCCCACACCGGCAAGUGUGCUGUUACAGCAGCAGCAAGAGUCAAAGGUAGAUAAUAAAUUAUACAAUAAAAUAGAAAAGAACUUUACAGAAGACUGUAAACUGCUUCAAACAUUAUACACAAAGAGUGUAAGUCAUUGCUUUGUGAAAAAGAAGUGGUGAAGUGGUUUGGAUAAAAUAAUAAAGUGUUGUAUGGAUGUGAAGUAAAGAAAAUAAGAUAAUAUAAGAAAUAUAUAUUGAAAAAUACUUUUUUUUAAUGAAUGAUGUACCUCAGUACCUCAGUACCUACCCUGCAGCAUGAGG